UACGUAGGGCGCAAGCGUUGUCCGGAAUUAUUGGGCGUAAAGAGCUCGUAGGCGGUUUGUCGCGUCUGGUGUGAAAACUCGAGGCUCAACCUCGAGCUUGCAUCGGGUACGGGCAGACUAGAGUGCGGUAGGGGAGACUGGAAUUCCUGGUGUAGCGGUGGAAUGCGCAGAUAUCAGGAGGAACACCGGUGGCGAAGGCGGGUCUCUGGGCCGAUACUGACGCUGAGGAGCGAAAGCGUGGGGAGCGAACAGG
rnacentral:rRNA from 1 species